UUAGCUCUCCGGAUGGACCUCACAGAUCAAAGACUCCCAGUUCCCUCCUGCAGCACUGCUCCACGGCUUCAGAAACAGCCUGGCCCACUGCUCUUUCUAUGGAGAAACCAAAGCAGCUGGGCUAUAAGUUUCAUUUGUUGCCAAUUUGGUCUGGGUUGGCCAACUCAGAGGAAGGGGAAAAUCAGCACUCUGCUCCAUCACCUGCACUUCAGAUUCUUUUGGGCAAAAACCCAAGUCCAAUGCUGGGAAGCACCUACAAGGAGUGGUCAGAAAAUCAGGCUAGGGAACAUCAAACCCCUUACAGACACCAGCUAGGACUAUUCAGGGUCCAUUUCCAGCUCUGCCUUAAGUGCCCAGAGCCACUUCAGUGCCAAGGUCAGCACGCUGAUGGGCAUAAUCCAUGCUGCUGGGAAUGCUGAGCUGGUGCAGGAUUAUUUCUCCUCCCCUCUCUGCUUCAUUCCCAUCACAUUCCCAUCCCUUCCUCUCCUUUUUAGUGACAUUUCCCUCUUGCACUGUGUCCCUUUCCCAUACUCAUCCUCCUUGCCUUCAGCCUUGGGUUGCUCUGGCUGUACCAUCAUCCCUGCGAGGCCACCAAGCCGCACGCAAGCACAGCAGCCUAGCAAAAGGCUGGAUCAAUACAUGCUGGCAGCUCUGCACCUGCUGCCCUGGCAGUGCCCUGAGUCCCUUCCCCUCCGCUGAAACCAAACGAAACCCUGCUCCAAAUUCAAGCCUGUCCCCAGCCCACCUGUGUGAUCUGCAGCAGCACAAGGCAUCCCAAUUUGUGCUGCAUGAACUAUGUGUGGAUGGGAAUAUUCCCUGAGAAGCAGAUCAGGAGAAAACUGGGGCUGCCUCGCUAAGCCAGGCUACCAGCACCUGCACUUGGGUGAUUUAUUUUUUUUCCUGAGGAGAUUGUGAAGAGCUUAUUUGCCACCUGGGCCCAGUGGAAAAGGCCCCGGGUUUGGGAGUUAGGAGUCUUCAGCUGCUGCCUCAGCUGUGCCAUUUACUGCUGUGCAAUGAUGCGCAAGCAGGAUCCUGCAAGUGUGAAGCUGAAGAACUGCAAAGACUGAGGUUCACACCAGAUCUCCCACUCAUCCCUCCCUCACUGCUCUCACAAAACGAGUCCCUCCUCCCAGAGCUUAUGGCCCAGCUCACACCUGGCUGAGCAGUGGAGAUCUCCUUCCUUCCCCAGCCCAGAAGCUAAGCAAGGGCUGAGCUCUAUCACGAGGUCACCUUUGCAGCCGGAGGCACAUUUCUGAGAAUGCCCCUGACCACAGAGUCCCCCCCCGUGCCUCGCUUCUGCUGUGCCGAGCCAAGAGCCUAUAGAUUUCCUGCUCUUAAAAUACAUUAACGUAAUAAAAGUCAGAAUUACACAGCCUGGAAUUUGUGA
rnacentral:lncRNA from 1 species